GUUUUCUAAUAAAUUAUGUUUUUAUCAGAUAUGACAGAAUCUUUUUUAAAAUCUCUUCAAUAUGCUUUUAUUGCUUUUGAGAGGUUUUGUUACUUUGAGUAAAAUUAAGUGUUCAUAACAGACGGGUAGUCAUGAUUGAGUUCAUUGUGU
rnacentral:rRNA from 1 species